rnacentral:rRNA from 1 species
UUUUUUUUUUUUUUUUUUUUUUUUUUUUGUUCUCCCUCGAUGACGCGGGGCAGCCUAAAACCUGCAAGUCGAGCGGUAACAAAGAGUAGCUUGCUACUCUCCUGACGAGCGGCGGACGGGUGAGUAAUGCUUGGGAAUAUGCCUUAUGGUGGGGGACAACAGUUGGAAACGACUGCUAAUACCGCAUGAUGUCUACGGACCAAAGUGGGGGACCUUCGGGCCUCACGCCAUAAGAUUAGCCCAAGUGGGAUUAGCUAGUUGGUGAGGUAAUGGCUCACCAAGGCGACGAUCCCUAGCUGGUUUGAGAGGAUGAUCAGCCACACUGGGACUGAGACACGGCCCAGACUCCUACGGGAGGCAGCAGUGGGGAAUAUUGCACAAUGGGCGCAAGCCUGAUGCAGCCAUGCCGCGUGUGUGAAGAAGGCCUUCGGGUUGUAAAGCACUUUCAGUAAGGAGGAAAGGUUAAGUGUUAAUAGCACUUAGCUGUGACGUUACUUACAGAAGAAGCACCGGCUAACUCCGUGCCAGCAGCCGCGGUAAUACGGAGGGUGCGAGCGUUAAUCGGAAUUACUGGGCGUAAAGCGUACGCAGGCGGUUUGUUAAGCGAGAUGUGAAAGCCCCGGGCUCAACCUGGGAACUGCAUUUCGAACUGGCAAACUAGAGUGUGAUAGAGGGUGGUAGAAUUUCAGGUGUAGCGGUGAAAUGCGUAGAGAUCUGAAGGAAUACCGAUGGCGAAGGCAUCCACUUGGGUCAACACUGAGGCUCAUGUACGACAGCGUGGGGAGCAAACGGGAUUAGAUACCCUGGUAGUCCACGCCGUCAACGAUGUCUACUAGAAGCUCGGGUCUUAGGACUUGUUUUUCAAUGGCAACGCAUGAGGUAGACCACAUGGGGAGUACGGCCGCAAGGUUAAUACUCAAAUGAAUUGACGGGGGCCCCCACCAGCGGUGGAGCAUGUGGUUUAAUUCGAUGCAACGCGAAGAACCUUACCUACACUUGACAUACAGAGAACU